rnacentral:rRNA from 1 species
GAUGAACGCUAGCGGGAGGCUUAACACAUGCAAGUCGAGGGGCAGCAUAGGGUAGCAAUACUCUGAUGGCGACCGGCAAACGGGUGAGUAACGCGUAUGUAACCUACCCUGUACAGGGGGAUAACCCGGAGAAAUUCGGACUAAUAUCCCAUAACAAUAUCCGGGGGCAUCUUUGGAUAUUUAAAGUUCCGGCGGUACGGGAUGGGCAUGCGUAACAUUAGCUAGUUGGUAAGGUAACGGCUUACCAAGGCUUUGAUGUUUAGGGGUCCUGAGAGGGUGGUCCCCCACACUGGUACUGAGACACGGACCAGACUCCUACGGGAGGCAGCAGUGAGGAAUAUUGGUCAAUGGGCGAGAGCCUGAACCAGCCAAGUCGCGUGAAGGAAGGAGGAUCUAUGGUUCGUAAACUUCUUUUGCAGGGGAAUAAAGUGCAGGACGUGUCCUGUUUUGUAUGUACCCUGAGAAUAAGGAUCGGCUAACUCCGUG